AUUACAGUGGAAACAAAAUGAAAACGUAGAAACCUAUGGGAGUGCUUGAGAGUUUAAAGCCAAUCGCUGCUGUUCCUAAAGAUGCUUUGAUUUUAGGCAUUGUACUGGGGAUACCUCGACCUCUUCACCGACCAUCUGCAUGUAUCAGGAAGAUGUGACGAUGCCUCCAUGUUCCAGAGACUGAUCUGCAGAACUGUCAGGUGUGCAGCUGAAGGAAAAGAUCACGCAUUUUAGAUGACACACAUGAAAGCAUAGCCAACCUGAGGUCAUCCACUUUGGAGACACUAACCGACUGCUUUGUUGAAAAUGUGCUAUAAAGCUACUGCCUGUCCGUAACUUCAAGCAUAUUUGGAAUCUGUGAGGUUGAAAGUGCAAGUCCCCCCUUUGCUUUGAUUAGCCUUGUCUUCCAAAGGUAAUCGCUUUCAGAGUUUGGUAUAUAUAUAUUUUUAGCUGUUUUGUGUGGCCUAUGAAAAGGAGCAUAUAUAUAUAUAUAUAU
rnacentral:lncRNA from 12 species